rnacentral:rRNA from 1 species
GAUGAACGCUGGCGGCGUGCCUAACACAUGCAAGUCGAACGGAAAGGCCCUGCUUUUGCGGGGUGCUCGAGUGGCGAACGGGUGAGUAACACGUGAGUAUCCUGCCCUUGACUUUGGGAUAACUUCAGGAAACUGGGGCUAAUACCGGAUAGGAGCUCCUGCUGCAUGGUGGGGGUUGGAAAGUUUCGGCGGUUGGGGAUGGACUCGCGGCUUAUCAGCUUGUUGGUGGGGUAGUUGCUUACCAAGGCUUUGACGGGUAGCCGGCCUGAGAGGGUGACCGGCGACAUGGGGACUAAGGGAGGGCGCAGACGGGUACGGGAGGCAACGGUGGAGAAUAUUGCGCAAUGGGCGCGAGCGUGAUGCAGCAGCGCCGGGAGCGGGAAGACGGCCUUCUGGGGAUAAACCGCUUUCGCCUGUGACGAAGCGUGAGUGACGGUAAUGAGUAAAGAAGCACCGGCUAACUACGUG